GUUGGGGGGUGCGGGGUGGAGAGCCUGAAGAUGGGGUUGUUUGGGGGGUGGAGAGCCUGGAGUGGGGGUACGUUGGGUCGUGGAGACCUCAAAGUUGGGGUACAUUGGGUGGUGGACCCCAAAGUGGGGGUACGUUGGGUGGUGGAGACCCCGAAGUUG
rnacentral:lncRNA from 1 species